rnacentral:lncRNA from 1 species
AUGGAUGAUGUGGAUGUCCAGGACCAUGCAGCCAGAGGUAGCUGGCUUGAAAUGAAGCAGGGGAUGAACUCUGCAGGGGGGAAUCCCCAGAUCCAGGGCUGCCCACUGUCUUUGGUCCCACUCCCAGGCCUGGAAUCUUCCACCAAGGCUCCUCCCAGGCCAAGGCCCAGGCUUCCCUGGAGACUUCCGCCCCAUUUCCUGAAGCCUCACCUCUGGGAGGAGGAGGAAGUCCACCAGGCAGCAACUCCUCUGCCUCCUCCUGUCCGCCUUUGCCCCGGGGGAAGGGAGGGAGACACUGCGGACAGCAAACCCCCGACCCAGAGAACUCCAUCCCCGCUCCGUCGCCUCUUCUGGGGCCUAGAGACCCAGACCUGCCUUUCCACCAGUCAGAAAACAAAAGAUGAAAAAAGUCUGGAUGCAAGAGUGAAAUACUGGGUCAUGAAUAUGGUGCCUUUUUCUUGCUUACACCCGCGAGCACAGGAGAGCGGAUGCCAGUGACAUUUGUUUUCUGCUCCGCGCCGGGCACAGGUAAGCCACCAGGGGCGUCUUUCCUAACGAGGAAGAAAAAUGUCAGAACGGCGAUCAGCCUCGUUGCACCCAACAGACUUGAAAAUGAGCAAAAAUAACAGGAAAAUUCACUUUGCAUAGGCUGGCUGUCCAUCGUCCCCAGAUUAGGAGAGUGGGAUUUUCUUUGUGCCAUGCUGAGUUCUGCUACGAGGUGCCCCCACAAGUGGACACACCUCAGAGAGGGGACAUUCAUUCUGGGAAUGACUGUAUUCCAUUUAAAACCGGAGCUGAAGUCGAAGGCUGGGUCCAUGUCUGGUCCUCCUGGUCCUCCUGCUGUCUGAGGUCUGCAUGCCCAGCCCCAUCUGGGAGGCCCCACCUUCCAUUUGAGGUUAUACGUCUUCUGUGUGUGGGGGCAUGGGGCAAAGUCCACUUACUAACAACAACUUUCUGUGAUCUCACAUCACCCUUCAGCGAGCCUGUGAGAUAGGACUGUCACCCCUAUUAACAGAAGAGGAAACUGAGGCUUACAUGGGCCUCUCCACUGUGCUGUACAAGCUCCCUAUCUCUUCUGUCAAGAGCAGACACUAGAUCCUUCAUUACUGUAUUCCCCCAGAGCCCGGCCCAGAGCCUGCACAUGUGGCCCUGGGUGCAUUCUGUCAAAUGACUGAGUGAGUUGGGGUGGCGGGGUCUUGCCCCUACCGGGACCGAGUGCUCUGAGCGCAGGCGCCUUGCCACGCGUGGCUCAUGUAGGCUGGGCACACGGCAGGAGCUCCCGGCGGGGCCUGGUGGGGGCGAGCGGUGCUGCAGGAGCAGGGAAGCUCUCCUCGCUGAUUCCAGGCCAGAGCGGCAGAAAGAUGAAAGGAGGCGAACGAGGAAGUCCUUCAAGUAAUAAAUGAAAGUAACCCUGAUUGGCCUCA